rnacentral:rRNA from 1 species
CCUACGGGUGGCAGCAGUAGGGAAUAUUGCUCAAUGGGGGAAACCCUGAAGCAGCAACGCCGCGUGGAGGAUGAAGGUUUUCGGAUUGUAAACUCCUUUUGUUAGAGAAGAUAAUGACGGUAUCUAACGAAUAAGCACCGGCUAACUCCGUGCCAGCAGCCGCGGUAAUACGGAAGGUGCAAGCGUUACUCGGAAUCACUGGGCGUAAAGAGCGCGUAGGCGGGAUAGCAAGUCAGAUGUGAAAUCCUAUGGCUUAACCAUAGAACUGCAUUUGAAACUGUUAUUCUAGAGUAUGGGAGAGGUAGGUGGAAUGCGUGGUGUAGGGGUAAAAUGCGUAGAGAUCAAGAGGAAUACUCAGUGCGAAGGCGACCUGCUAGAACAUAACUGACGCUGAUGCGCGAAAGCGUGGGGAGCAAACAGGAUUAGAUACCCUAGUAGUC